rnacentral:rRNA from 1 species
GACGAACGCUGGCGGCGUGCUUAACACAUGCAAGUCGAACGGAAAGGCUCUGCUUUUGUGGGGUGCUCGAGUGGCGAACGGGUGAGUAACACGUGAGUAACCUGCCCUUGACUUUGGGAUAACUUCAGGAAACUGGGGCUAAUAUCGGAUAGGAGCUCCUGCUGCAUGGUGGGGGUUGGAAAGUUUCGGCGGUUGGGGAUUGACUCGCGGCUUAUCAGCUUGUUGGUGGGGUAGUGGCUUACCAAGGUUUUGACGGGUAGCCGGCCUGAGAAGGUGACCUGCCACAUUGGGACUGAGGUACGUCCCAGACUCCUACGGGAGGCAGCAGUAGGGAAUAUUGCACAAUGGGCUGAAGCCUGAUGCAGCAACGCCGCGUGCGGGAUGACGGCCUUCGGGUUGUAAACCGCUUUCGCCUGUAACGAAGCGUGAGUGACGGUAAUGGGUAAAGAGGCACCGGCUAACUACGUG